ensembl:lncRNA
CAGAGACAGUAGCCUUCCAAGACUAAUCCUGCUGCUGACCUUGACACCCGUUUUAGUAGUACAGAUCCCAGAGGCCCAUUGGAUGAAAACUAUCAGCCGGGAACAAGCUCAACAUCAUCUGGUUUGGAUGAGGAAAAAGGACUUCAUGAGGCUGGCAAGAGACAAAGUGUUCAGUCUGAGUCCAAGGUCAUACAGCUCAUGAAGUUCUGCCAGACCAGCUGCCAUUGGCCCAACCAACACAAGACGAUGCACACCAGCUGAAGAACAUUCCGGACCCUGUCUGGAACAUUCAGCCAACAAAACAUCUAUAUUGUUGUACUGAUGUUGUAGUAUAAUGUAGAAUACCUAGUAUACCCACAACUGUAAUGUUGAUUUGAGUAGCAGCAGAAACCAAUAAUGUUGACUUCCAAAUUCUGGAUUAAUUCAUUGUGAUAUUUAAGAAAUGUAUUCAGAAGUAACUUGCUACAAUCUUACUGAUGAAAAAAAAAAAAAAAAUGAUACAGAGAGACCAACCAUUGACGUCAUGGUUUGAACACACCCAGCACGCAAACAAAAAAAUCCCAAAUACCUCUCAUCACUCAUAAU